AACGAAAGCUAAGAUGGAGAGUUGCGUAAGAUAUAAAUAGAAUAUAAAUAGAAUUUUACUGUUUGUUUUUUAAAGAAAACGAGUCGCAGUGGAUGUGUAUGUUCAUAAACUAGUUUAGGAAGUGUGUAGAUAGUUAAACUAUACCGCUGUUUUUGUUUUAAGUGGCUUUUUCCACUGUUUUACAGUAAAUAACUGGGCAGAACUCGUGGCUGGAUAUAUGGGUCUGAGCUGAAUGUAGUGUAGUUAGUUAGUAGGUGUGUGGCUGUAUGAGUGAUGCAGUCAGUCAGUGUAAUGUAAAGUAAUGGCAUGGCAGAAUGGAGCGCUACUCCUGCCUCUCUUCUUCACCCUCAACUUAUUCCUCUGGCUUAUUCCUGAAGCUUCAUUUGGACAGAAUGCAAGGUGCUGGUGGACAAACGUCUCACAUGAUGGCCAGGUGUCUAUAGAGUGCCAUGCAAAUCCACCAAGUUUCCUGCAGAAGUGUGGGCAGUGUCGACUUCGUCUUACCACGUCUGAAAACACAACCCAGGCUGACCUUCACCAAUGCUCCCGCAACGCUGCAAAUUUCACCGCUGUUCUGUCACCGCAGGCAAUGCAGGAUGUACGGGCCAAGCUCUUGUGCCCUGACCAAGGACCUCAGGACUGUAUUAUAAAAGGAGGAUGUCAAAGAUACAUUUGA
rnacentral:lncRNA from 1 species